rnacentral:rRNA from 1 species
CCUACGGGAGGCAGCAGUGGGGAAUAUUGCACAAUGGGGGAAACCCUGAUGCAGCGACGCCGCGUGAGUGAAGAAGUAUUUCGGUAUGUAAAGCUCUAUCAGCAGGGAAGAAACCCACCCUCCGGGGUGGCUGACGGUACCUGACUAAGAAGCCCCGGCUAACUACGUGCCAGCAGCCGCGGCAAUACGUAGGGGGCAAGCGUUAUCCGGCUUUAUUGGGUGUAAAGGGAGGGUAGGUGGCAAGGCAAGUCAGGUGUGAAAACCCGGGGCCCAACCCCGGGAGUGCAUUUGAAACUGUCUGGCUAGAGUGCAGGAGAGGUAGGUGGAAUUCCUAGUGUAGCGGUGAAAUGCAUAGAUAUUAGGAAGAACACCAGUGGCGAAGGCGGCUUACUGGACUGUAACUGACACUGAGGCUCGAAAGCGUGGGGAGCAAACAGGAUUAGAUACCCCGGUAGUC